rnacentral:lncRNA from 10 species
UUUAGUUCUUUAAUAGUGGCACGCAUCUCUUACACUAUGAAACUGAUUUUUAUUUAUCAUCUUGGCUGAGUUGUGGGCAGCUUCAGAGGUUUCCAUUUGGCCGUCCCCACUAUAAUAGUUAUGCUUUACCGACCCGGGCCUAAUGUUGGGGAUAGUCCAACUAUGCACUUGGCUGCUUGGGAAAUCAUCCACAGACCAAAUGAACCACUGUGAGUCAGAUUUCAGACAGAACUCCAUUCAUUACCUUGUCCCAUUGUAACAGGCACUAUGAUGAUAUUUCAGGUUUCUGGGUAUCAGUGUUAACUCACAUCCCAUAUUCAACAGACCUUGAAAUGUCUGGUUAUUUCCUUUCCCCAGCAUAUGGUCACAUGAGUAAAUGCCCAUAGGUACCUUUGGGGAAGAGCUGGAGGAAUUGUCAUGGCAUACAUUUGCCAUGGCAUUGUAAGAUUCUUCCUCCUGGGGACCCAUCACUUCAGCCAGUGGGUUCCAGAUCUGCAAAUUGACUUGAGUUUGAGAACUAAACAAGAAGUUGUGGCUUUUUACUGGGGGCAAUCACCCAUAGCUUCCUGCUCCUUUAUUAUUGCUCUUCGUGGGUUAUGGAUGUUAAGUAACAUUCUUAUUGGCUGCCUGUCUAUUUUGCCUCUAAGGACAUCAUUCUCCAUUAACCAUCUCCACAACUCCCUGUGGCUCUAGUCCCGGUGGCUGUCUGACUAACCAUGCCAGUUACUGUGGUAAUUGUGACCUCCUAGCUUCUAUUAUUUGAGGGCUCCCAUCAUGCAUUCCCAUGGGUGUUAAUGAGCCCAGCUUUGAGACUGCCUCACCUACCAUCCUCUUUGGCAUGCAGUGGACAGCCAUCACUGGACUUCUUUGAUGCAGGUGCCCCUCUCACCAGUGCUUUCUGGCAGUCUUGGUGAGUGGCGUGUAAUCUGGGACAUGUCAUAGAACAAAAUCCUCUAGCUGCAUUACUUCUGGUCUUACCUAAUAUAUCCAUUCCUUCAUGCUCAUUUCCCUCAAACUCUUUAUUUCUUCCUCUACCAUAUGUCAGGGGAAUUUGGGCAUUUCCAUGUUGCUGAGAGUUGGGAGUCAAUGAAAGAUGAGAGAGCUGUCAGACAAUGAUGCAAGUCUGAUCCUGUGUGGAGGAGAGGGGAAAAAGAUUGGGUGGAAGUAUGCCAGAUAUUUACUCAAAGUCAAGCAAAAGUUGGCCAUUAGAGGCAUCCUUUGUCUCCUAGGAGAAGGCCUGCCCUGCUGUCCUUGCCAUACUCAGUCAUCAGCUGGGAGCAGCCCAUGGAAGCAUGGCCUUCACACAAAUGUGCAAUGGAUUUCAAAGUGAGGCAGCUGGGGUGCUUUGUGAAUUAAGCUCCAAGUUGAGGUCUUUGAAGUGCAUUCUCACAAUUGCCAGAGUGUCCUUUACAGCAAAAAGAAUUUUUUUUCUAGUCCGAGCUACAGCCUAGGAUUACAUGGUGACUUUGUCUUGUCUUUUUAAUGUUCUUCAAUCUAGAACAGUCUUUCCAUUUGGGUUUGGGUUUAACGUUUUCUUUUCUUUUUACUUUGAGACAGGGUCUUGCUAUAUUGCCCAGGCUGGUCUUGAACUCCUGGCCUCAAGCAAUCCUCCUGCCUCAAACUCCCAAGUAGCUUGGACUACAGGUGGGCACCAUUGAACCCUCUAAUGUUUCCUUAUAGUUACUUUCUAUUGUGCUGUUUUGUUUUGUUUUAUUGGGUCAGGAAUACAUAAGAAAUAAAAAUUGUUCUUUUAGUGGCAUGCAAUUUAAUUUGUCCUGUUACUAAUGAUGUUAACUUUGAUCACUUGGUUGAGGUGAUAUAUUCCAGGAUUCUCUGGAAAAUUAGUGUCUUUUUCCUUUGUAAUAAAUAGAGCAUCUUGUGGGGAUAUGCUUUGAGACUCUGUAAUUACCCUCAGUGUGCUAAAGAUCUGAGGGGAUAUAGAGAGAAAAUUCUGAGUCACACUUUCAUUUCAUGUAGCUGAAAAAGCAACUUAAACAUUGGACUUGACUGAAAUUAAGCUUGGACUUAACUGAGCUCCUUCAGGAAAAGCUUAAUUACUUACUGAGACAGGAAAAUCAUCAGGACACUCUCGGAUCUCAAUGUGGGUACUGGGAGUGCCAGAGAACCAAGAUUCUCCCUCCCACUCUCUCUGAUGUGUGUGAUUCAUAUGAACAUUGAUAAAGGAUGUCUCAUCCCUCCUUCAAGUAAACUUGUUCUGACAAAAUUUCACCACACUUUGUCAAAUGGCAAACAUUGUUCCUAAGAAACAUCAUAUACGUGUUUAUGCAAAUUUUGUUUUUUAAACUUUUUAUCAAGAAAAGAAAAAAAGUGGAAAAUAUGUUUUUGCCUGAAAAGUGAAUAUUAUAAACAAGUAGCUUGGGUUUGAAAGAUAGUCUGUGGAAACACAGAUAAGGCUCUAUGCUAAGAUGCUUGCUGCUAUAAUCCUCAGUCCCCUAGUAAAAGUUUCUGCAAAAAGCUUGGCCAGCCAUGAUGCCAUUGAGCAUUGACCCCCAUAAUCAAUCUCCCUGUGACUCUCACGGAGAAUGCUGAAGCAAAUUUUCUGUAGUGAGGGAUCUGUAGACCAUGGCAUGCAGCCUCCAGUCUCACUGUGCAGACUGAGGACAGUGACACAGGUCAUUGACACACGGCUGACCUAGGCAGUGAUUCUCCCUACACUAAUACAGUGAUUCUUUCUGUGAGAGACUGCCUGCCCUUAAUAAGAUAACAUGCCCCUUUGGCCGGGCACAGUGGCUCACGCCUGUAAUCCCAGCACUUUGGGAGGCCGAGGCGGGCGGAACAUGAGGUCAGGAGACUGAGACCAUCCUGGCUAACACAGUGAAACCCCGUCUCUACUAAAAAUACAAAAAAAAAAAAAAUAGCUGGGUGUGGUGGCGGGCACCUGUAGUCCCAGCUACUCAGGAGGCUGAGGCAGGAGAAUGGCAUGAACCUGGGAGGUAGAGCUUGCAGCGAGCCAAGAUCGAGCCACUGCUCUCCAGCCUGGGUGACAAAGCGAGAUUCUGCCUCAAAAAAAAAAAAAAAAAAAAGAAUAACCUGCCCCUUUAACCUACCAACUCUCUUCUCCUCUUUAGUUUGUUGAAGCAAAAACAACGUAAAUAUUGCAUUAACCAAGUGUGUGUAUGAGAGAGAGAGAGAGAGGAGAGAGAGAGAAGAGAGAGAGAGAGAGAGAAUGAGCAGUUAUGGCUCUUGGCAUUUUUUACUGGACAAGGCAAACCUAAAGAUUUUACUUUUAAACUUGAAUUAAUGCUGAGAGUAAGUCACAUCUGCCCUCACUUCCCUCCCACUCCACACAAACAUGCAUACCACUGGAAAGGCAACAUUUUAUCAAAGGCAUUUGGCGUUUUUCCUCUCUUAUGACCCUCUAGAAGCUUGAGAAUGUGGGAGAGAAGGGCUGGAACCAGAAAUGGAGAAGUAGUGCUGGAACAAUAAUGACCUGAAAGCCAGUGGAACUGAGGUCUCCUGCAGGAACUUUUGGGGAGGCCUGGAUACUUUGGAGACCAAUGGGUAUGGAUGGAAAGAAGAGCAGAAAUGAUUCAGCUCAUAAAGCAGUGAAAAGGAAUGAUCUAAGUACAUGAACAAAUCUUUAAAGCAAAAUGUUAAAGUGUGGGAGCAAGUUCUACAGAACACAUACAAUAUGAUACUUUUUUUUUUUUUUUUAAAGAGACAGGGUCUCACUCUAUUGCCCAUGCAGGGGUGCAGUGGCACAAUCAGAGCUCAUAGCAUCCUUCAACUCCUGGGCUCAAGCCAUCUUCCCACUUCAGCCUCCUGAGUAGCUGGGACUUCAUAGGCAGGCACCACCACACCCAGCUAAUUUAAAACAAUUUUUUUGGCUGGGCGCGGGGGCUCACACCUGUAAUUCCAGCACUUUGGAAAGCCGAGGCAGGCAGAUCAUGAGGUCAAGAGUUCGUAGACCAGCAUGGCCAAUAUGAUGCCAUUUACAUGCAGCUUAAACGCAUAUACAUGUGUUGAAUCAGUGUCAUGUGUUGAUGAGGGACAUAAACACAUUUACUAAAAGUAUAAACAGUUGCAUGGGAAUUAGUAACUUUAAAUUCAUAAAAUUGUACUGGCUAUCAGGUGAGUAGGGGACAAGUGGAAUGAGGGAAUGAGACCAGCUGGGUACCCAAAUAUUGCUAAUGUUAUUGCUUAAGCUGUGUGGUGAAUACACAGGUGUUCAAUUUACUAUUAUUUCGCACUUUCCGUGUACUUUAGCUAUUUGACAAUACAUUUAAAAAUCGAAAACUUAUCCCAUAAUCCCAGGCUCCAGAGGUGAUAGUAGGUGGUGUUUUCCAGACCUUUCCCGCUGCCUUGAUUUUCUGUUAACUGGCCACCAUCCUUGUCUCCUCGCGCUGCCGGUCGCUGC